GCCUCUGAGAGUGGGAUAGCUUCUGGAAACGGAUGGUAAUACCGCAUAACAUAGCGAAACCGCAUGAUUUUGCUAUCAAAGUAUUUCGCUCAGAGAUGGCCUCGCGUCUGAUUAGAUAGUUGGUGAGGUAACGGCUCACCAAGUCGACGAUCAGUAGCCGGACUGAGAGGUUGAACGGCCACAUUGGGACUGAGACACGGCCCAG
rnacentral:rRNA from 1 species